GUCCGUUUGCGACAGCAAUAAGCAGAGACGAAAACUUAAACAAAUGUAGAAACGGAACUAAACGCCGCAGCAGGAAAUCUUAGUGGUUUGGGCUCAAAGAAGACAGACGCUCUCCAUCGGGAUGACUUUGUCCCCCCACCACCGCCACUACCAAUCAGGGGACACGGGGCAACCUCUGGAGAGGUAUUUGGUUGUCACAACUGGGGACGAUGAUACUGGCUUCUAGUGGGUAGAGACCAGGGAUGCUGCUGAACAUCCUACAAGCACAGGGCGGCCCCACAGAGAGCGAGGCAGCCCGACGCCACCGGUGCUGAGGCUGAGAAGCCCUGAGGUGAGGGAGCUGGAGCGGCUGUGCUCGUCCGAGGGGGCUCCACACUGCGUCUCGGAGGACAAUGGAAGUCGGGGGACGGACAGGAGAGGGAAGCCUUCCAGGAGGGGAUCACAGCACAGUGAGGUCCCAGGGCCUCGGAGCUCCGCUGGGCAAAAACACCGCUUUCAGAAAGAAACUGAACGGGGCUUCGCCGUGUGCUGGGACGGACUCAAGACCCCUCGUCUCCUGAGCAGGGACGUGCGUCGCUGCAGGGAAUAAUAACAGCGAUGUCCUCCGGAGUUGUGAGCCUAAACCAUGGGGUGACACAGACGGAGCAGCCCAGCCCGACAGCGCCUCUCGGGGGGCACUUGAUGGAGCUGUGGUGAUUCUGGGAUGAAAGCAUCAUGAAAGCGCCUGGAGGUCACGCAGACAAAGCAGCAGG
rnacentral:lncRNA from 1 species